AGAGCUGGCAUUAAUCAACUCAAAAUUCAAGCACAGAAAGGAAAAAGUCAGUCGUUCCUGCUUCCCUAUUGAGGAAAAAAGUUUUCAUACUUGGCCACAGAGUUCAAAACAAUCCAUAUUUCUAUCGGUGGAGCAUCAAGUCUCCAGCAGCUGUUCGGUAACUUUGCAAAUCCGUUUUUAUUGUUCUAGUUUAAUGAAAUAAAUUCAGGAGCAGCGCCAUUUUCUGCACUUCAACAAACCCCAAGUGCAAUGAAUACAAAAAAAAAAAAAAAAAAAAACUUGGAAAUACGCCAUCAAAAAGCUAGCUCUCCGUAUGAAGGAGAGAGAAAAGCACAUGAGGAAAGAAGAAGGCAGCAAACAGCCAUGAAAAUCAUAACAGGCAAUCAACUGUACAUUAUGCAAAGCCAAAGUAUGCAAGGAGAUAGAAGAAAGGAAUGCAAUUUUUGUUUACCUGGGUCAGGCAGUAUGGGGAGUACAUGGCUGGGACUUUUUUGGAAUAUUUUGGAAGACUUUUUUCACAUGGAGAGAAGCUGGCUAUGUAGCUGCAUUUCUAAAGCUGCUCCCUCCCUCUCUCGCUGGCUCGCUGUCUCUCCCUCUCUCUCUCUCUCUCUCCCUACUCCAUGCUCAACAGUAACUCCGCCUCACAACAGCCCCCUGAAAGUGAAAGUUUAGAGAAAGUUUGCAAAAGACUUCUGUGCAAGAAUACUCCCCCCCCCAAAAAAAAAAAAAUCCACACAGCCACCAGCAAUUUAGGCUGACUUUAAUAAGAAGUAGACAAGUAGACAGAAGAAAUAAAGAACACAUUUAAAUCAUUAACUUUAUAGGGACUUGGAAAUAAACUGAAAGGUCAAAAACAGAAGAUGACAGAAUGUCUCUUGGAAAACAGCAGGAGGAACCAUUACAAAAAAGAAAAUCCCUGGGAUAUAAGUCUAUCACAUGCUACUCCAGCAGAAAAUAAUGGAACAGUAGGUGAUAUCUGAAUGUGAUACUUGACAAAGCAAUUUGCUUCUACUUUUUGGUGAUGCAAGCUAGGCUAUCCUAUAGAACCCCAUCUCCUAACCCCCUGUGAAGAAUGUGACAGGAGCUGUACAGGAAAGUUAUAACACCACCUUGUCAAAGAUAGAAACUGUCUUCAAAAGAGUCUUUGGCCUGCUUAAAGCCCAUUUCCACUGACUGGAUGAGACUGGGAGCACCCUUCAAUAUGACCCUGCUACAGCACGUAGGAUGUUUACCAUAUGUUGCAGUCUGCAAUUAUGAUCAUGCACCAGUAUGGUGAUAAAAUGUCCCAUAAUGUCACUACAGCUGUCAGUACAGGUUCUACCAUGAAUGAUGAUAGUGUCGAUGGCAAGUUGGCAGUAGAAGAAGAAACCCCAUGCAGGAGGCUAAUGCACUGUAUACGGCUGUGCAGCUAAAGAGGCGGCAUCUAGUCCACAACUAUGGACUAUUCACAUUAUUCAUUACAAAAAAACACAGAGAAUAAUUGGUGCAUGCAUUGCUUUGUGUGGGCUGUGCUGUAUAGUGAAUGGCCUACUGCUACUGUUCAUGAGACAAGUCA